CCUACGGGAUGCUGCAGUGAGGAAUAUUGGUCAAUGGGCGCGAGCCUGAACCAGCCAAGUCGCGUGAGGGAAGACGGUCCUAUGGAUUGUAAACCUCUUUUGUCGGGGAGCAAAAGACGCCACGCGUGGCGUUCCGAGAGUACCCGAAGAAAAAGCAUCGUCUAACUCCGUGCCAGCAGCCGCGGUAAUACGGAGGAUGCGAGCGUUAUCCGGAUUGAUUGGGUUUAAAGGGUGCGCAGGCGGAAGAUCAAGUCAGCGGUAAAAUUGAGAGGCUCAACCUCUUCGAGCCGUUGAAACUGGUUUUCUUGAGUGAGUGAGAAGUAUGCGGAAUGCGUGGUGUAGCGGUGAAAUGCAUAGAUAUCACGCAGAACUCCGAUUGCGAAGGCAGCAUACCGGCGCUCAACUGACGCUCAUGCACGAAAGUGUGGGUAUCGAACAGGAUUAGAUACCCCUGUAGUC
rnacentral:rRNA from 1 species